rnacentral:rRNA from 1 species
GUCGCACGAGAAAGGGGAGCAAUCCCUGAGUAAAGUGGCGCACGGGUGAGUAACACGUGAAUGAUCUACCUCCGAGUGGGGAAUAACUGAGAGAAAUCUUAGCUAAUACCGCAUAACACUUACGAGUCAAAGCAGCAAUGCGCUUGGAGAGGAGUUCGCGGCCGAUUAGUUAGUUGGCGGGGUAAUGGCCCACCAAGACGAUGAUCGGUAUCCGGCCUGAGAGGGCGCACGGACACACUGGAACUGAAACACGGUCCAGACUCCUACGGGAGGCAGCAGUGGGGAAUUUUGCGCAAUGGGGGAAACCCUGACGCAGCAACGCCGCGUGGAGGAUGAAAUCCCUUGGGAUGUAAACUCCUUUCGAUGGGGAAGAUUAUGACGGUACCCAUAGAAGAAGCCCCGGCUAACUUCGUGCCAGCAGCCGCGGUAAUACGAGGGGGGCAAGCGUUGUUCGGAAUUAUUGGGCGUAAAGGGUGCGUAGGCGGUUUGACAAGUCUGAUGUGAAAUCUAUGGGCUCAACCCAUAGUCUGCAUCGGAAACUGUCGGGCUUGAGUAUGGGAGAGGUGAGUGGAAUUUCCGGUGUAGCGGUGAAAUGCGUAGAUAUCGGAAGGAACACCUGUGGCGAAAGCGGCUCACUGGACCAUUACUGACGCUGAGGCACGAAAGCUAGGGGAGCAAACAGGAUUAGAUACCCUGGUAGUCCUAGCCCUAAACGAUGAUUGCUUGAUGUGGCA